ensembl:lncRNA
GUGACAUACAGAGAAGAGAUAAACUGUUGUGUGGCGUAAAGUACUACCUUGCUUGUCAGUUAAUAGUAAGACCUACCUAACUUUUCCUACUCAUAAAAUUCCAUCAUAAAGACCUAAAUUAAAAUUAACUGUUAGUUAGAAUAAUGUAGUCCUUGACCAAAAAAAAACAAAAACAAAAACAAAAAUCCCGUAAAAGAUACCAGUCCACUGGCAUUUUUGCUAGUUUUACUCACCUGCAAAAUUAUAUAAUUUGAUUGAAAUUGUUAAUCUAUAUCCUGAAGUGUGAUUGCUUAUGGGUUUAAAAAAAGGAUUGUUGAUCAUAUAAUAAUUUUGUAAAAUAUAAACUGGACUCCUUUAGGAUGGAACUAAACUGGAUUAUGUUCCCCAAAAUCAGACUGAAAGUACAGUUGCUGCAGACAUAUGCUGAACCCUUGAGCUACACAAGGACUGGUCUAAAUUAACGUUUCAUUGAAAUAUUUGCAGAAUGGAUGCAAGGUCUUCUACAUCAGCUGUUGUGUUUUGCAGAACUACUGCAAAGCUACACUGCAAAUCCAUACACAACCCUGAACACCAUGAAGUAUGCCAUUCAGAAAAUGCUGAACUUUGAAAGUCUUUGUGCAAGGGGGAGAAAAGCAUUUCACAGACUGGGAUUUCGCUCUGUGUGGUUAAAUUUGUAGGAGAGAUGAAGCUGAGAUUGUAAAGUGUUCCAGGUAUAGAUCUGCUUCAGAAAUCUAUCAGAAAGGACCAACGACUCAGAGGUACCUGUGAAAGAAAGCCUUCAAGUUUUAAGUCAUAUACAGUCAAUUCACUGUAAAUUGAAAGAAAAAAAGGCAAAAAAGAAGCAAUAGCUUUUAAAAAAAAAUUCACCACCUAUCAAGGCAUAUUUGAAAGCAUUAUUAAGUGAAAAUCAAAGUGUAUAUAAGCCAUACGUGGCCAUACGUGGCCGUGAUUGCCAUUUUUCAGUCCCAUUUAGAACAUUAAAACUUCUAAUAUUUUCAAAAAUUCGUGAAUAUGUGUGGUCAUAGUCCUAUUUAGGACCAUAUAUUGUAUAUUAUUGUCACACCAUUUUCUGGAUCUUUCUGAUUUGAAAAAGGAGCAGAAGGGUAAUCAGCCAUUGAAAGCCGGUAGAUUAUUGGAUCAGUAACAAUACAGUGACAUAUAAUAAUUGUGAUGCUACUUUCUCACAAGACUUUCCCAUAUUUGCAAAUCCAUCUCAGGGGGCCAGGAAUUUGUGUCAAGGUUUCCUAACCAUGUUCUUUUCUACCACCCCGGUGAGGGAGGAAUUUUGUCAGUUUUGGUCCCUUUGCUCAGCACUCUCUUCAUGUCAGAUAUCUCAGAGUGUGGGCUCUGCACUCCUAAUUCCUAAGUAGUCAUGAACAUUUUGAAGGUCUCAGUGAAUAUGUGUUAAUGUAAUAAAAGAUAGUUUUUCCCUAGUUCCUGGGGGUCCUAUUGGUUCUUCUGUAUUCUGGUUUUUAGGGUGUUUUUUGGUUUUUUGUUUGUUUGUUUGUUUGUUUUUGGGUUUUUUAGUGGGUUUUUUUGGGGGAGGGUUGGUGAUUUUUUUUUUUGGUUGUUGGGGUUUUUUUUGUUGUUGUUUUUUUUUUUUUUACUGGGAUUCCUUACCCCUGGCAUAACUGUGUGGAUAAAUGAAUAAAACGUGGUUCAAGAUCUGAGUCUGAUUUCAAAGUAUUUCUGUUUUCACACUGGAUGGCAGAAAGUCAAAAUGAGCAAGGAAAAACCUGCCUCCGGGUAUUGCUGUGGAUUUAGCCAGAGCUCAGCCUGGCCUCUGUAGCAUUUCUUCCAGCGCAGUAUUCCCAACACAGGUCAAGCAACAGUUUGCCUGUCCCCAAACUGUGUUCUGCUGGCAGCCAGUCAUUGAUGAAUUGACCAUAAGACAACUGCAUGUCCAGACUUCUGUGGAACCAGAGGGGAAAGAAAGAGAGGAAGAGAGAGAAAGAGACAAAAACAGAGAGAGGGAAAUAGAGAAAGGGAGAGAGAAAGAAAGAAAAAGAGAGAAAGAGAGAGAGAGAGCAAGAAAGAGAGAGAGAAAGGAAAAGGGAAGGAGGAAGGAAGGAAGGAAGGAAGGAAGGAAGG